UCUUUACCGACAACAGGCGCAACAGGAGAUUGGCCACAACACAUCCCAAAAUAAUUCAGCCAAGUAGCCAUAUAACACAUCAUAGAUAAAGAUUGAAAAGUGAAGUUUAAAGGGACAGAGGAUUACAAUCGGUAGAAACAGAAAGAGAAGGAAUUCAUAUAAUCCUCAAAACUUUAGGAAGAAAAUUACAGAGAUGAAACAAAACCCAAAAGCGAGGAAAGCCUUCGAAGACAUAAAAGGCUGAUGUAAGAAUCGAAGCAGUGGCUCACUUCUCUCGGCACGAAACAAAAUUGAUGGCACAAAUAGUAAUCUGAUGGCAGAAAAGAGAAGAGAAUGGCAACACACAAACUUUACAUCAACACCCCUCCAAGCAAGAUCACCAAAAGAGAUCAAAAGUAAAAGAAGAUUUAUGAUGUCCACCAGUAUCUUAAGCUGCAUGGGAGAAGAAGAUUUGAGUGCUCAGCAAUUAUCAUUAAAAGACACACAAGGAAGUGCCCAGUAGUAUAAUAGAGCAAACUAAAUUUGGCUAGUGGCUGAAUGUUGCAGCAUCACCAAAGGUAAUAAAGAUUUCAAGGCAUUUCAGAGUCUGUCAUGAUCAACAACAGUCUUCGAGGAACGAAUGUGCUUCAAGCUUUGAAAACUAUGCAGGAUGUUGUAUAAGACUGAAUGAACAGAACCUUUCCUCUUUAAAAAGAUUCAGUUAUUUCUUUUCUUCCAAACUUCCAAGCAAA